rnacentral:rRNA from 1 species
AGGGUGUAAACGCUGCAGACUUGGUGUUGGAAAUCCUUCGAGGGUAUUCAGUGCCGGAGAGAAGUUGUUAAGUCUGCUACUUGGGGAGUACGUCCGCAAGGAUGAAACUUAAGGAAUUGGCGGGGGAGCACCGCAACGGGAGGAGCGUGCGGUUUAAUUGGAUUCAACACCGUAAAACUCACCAGGGAAGACUGUUACAUGAAGGCCGAGAUGAAGACUCUGCUAGAUUUUCAGAGAGGAGGUGCAUGGCGUCAGUGACU